UGAGUAACACGUAUCCAACCUGCCGUCUACUCUUGGACAGCCUUCUGAAAGGAAGAUUAAUACAAGAUGGCAUCAUGAGUCCGCAUGUUCACAUGAUUAAAGGUAUUCCGGUAGACGAUGGGGAUGCGUUCCAUUAGAUAGUAGGCGGGGUAACGGCCCACCUAGUCUUCGAUGGAUAGGGGUUCUGAGAGGAAGGUCCCCCACAUGGAACUGAGACACGGUCCAA
rnacentral:rRNA from 1 species